rnacentral:rRNA from 1 species
UACGUAGGGUGCAAGCGUUUGUCCGGAAUUAUUGGGCGUAAAGAGCUCGUAGGCGGUCUAUUGCGUCGGCUGUGAAAACCCGGGGCUCAACUCCGGGCCUGCAGCCGAUACGGGCAGACUAGAGUUCGGCAGGGGAGACUGGAAUUCCUGGUGUAGCGGUGAAAUGCGCAGAUAUCAGGAGGAACACCGGUGGCGAAGGCGGAUCUCUGGGCCGAUACUGACGCUGAGGAGCGAAAGCGUGGGGAGCGAACAGG